rnacentral:rRNA from 1 species
AGCGAACGCUGGCGGCAAGGCCUAACACAUGCAAGUCGAACGAACUCUUCGGAGUUAGUGGCGGACGGGUGAGUAACACGUGGGAACGUGCCUUUAGGUUCGGAAUAACUCAGGGAAACUUGUGCUAAUACCGAAUGUGCCCUUCGGGGGAAAGAUUUAUCGCCUUUAGAGCGGCCCGCGUCUGAUUAGCUUGAUGGUGA